GACAGAGGGUGCAAACGUUGUUCGGAAUUACUGGGCGUAAAGCGCGUGUAGGCGGUUUCAUAAGUCGGGUGUGAAAGCCCCGGGCUCAACCCGGGAAGUGCACUCGAAACUGUGAGGCUAGAGUAUCGGAGAGGUUGGUGGAAUUCUCGGUGUAGAGGUGAAAUUCGUAGAUAUUCGCAAGAACACCAGUGGCGAAGGCGGCUCACUGGCCCGGUACUGACACUGAGGUGCGAAAGCGUGGGGAGCAAACAGG
rnacentral:rRNA from 1 species